GCAGCAGCCGCGGGAAAACGGAGGGUGCUAGCGUUGUUCGGAAUCACUGGGCGUAAAGGGCGCGUAGGCGGCCUGUUAAGUCGGAUGUGAAAGCCCGGGGCUCAACCCCGGAACUGCAUCCGAGACUGGCAGGCUUGAGACCGGGAGAGGAGGGUGGAAUAUCCAGUGUAGAGGUGAAAUUCGUAGAUAUUGGAUGGAACACCGGUGGCGAAAGCGGCUCUCUGGCCCGGAUCUGACGCUGAGGCGCGAAAGCGUGGGGAGCAAACAGGAUUAGAUACCCCCGUAGUCCCUGUCUCUUAUAA
rnacentral:rRNA from 1 species